rnacentral:rRNA from 1 species
GAUGAACGCUGACAGAAUGCUUAACACAUGCAAGUCCACUUGAACUUCGGUUUGGGUGGCGGACGGGUGAGUAACGCGUAAAGAACUUGCCUCACAGCUAGGGACAACAUUUGGAAACGAAUGCUAAUACCUGAUAUUAUGAUUUUAGGGCAUCCUAGAAUUAUGAAAGCUAUAUGCGCUGUGAGAGAGCUUUGCGUCCCAUUAGCUAGUUGGAGAGGUAACGGCUCACCAAGGCGAUGAUGGGUAGCCGGCCUGAGAGGGUGAACGGCCACAAGGGGACUGAGACACGGCCCUUACUCCUACGGGAGGCAACAGUGGGGAAUAUUGGACAAUGGACCAAGAGUCUGAUCCAGCAAUUCUGUGUGCACGAUGAAGUUUUUCGGAAUGUAAAGUGCUUUCAGUUGGGAAGAAAAAAAUGACGGUACCAACAGAAGAAGUGACGGCUAAAUACGUG